CUCAGACAGUUGUGGACCCACUUGCACCCUGCCACCAGAGUGCUCCCAGUGGGGCGCAUAUCUCUGGGAGCUAGGCUACCACAGAGAGAGACCUCCAGUCACCUUGUUGCCUCCAGCUACCUCCAGCCUCUUGCAACAUUUGAUCUGGGCAACAGGACAACUCAAGACUGGCCUGAAAGGAGCCUACGCUUUCUGGCACAAGUUCCUCAAAUUCUCAUGAUUCCCAGCUCACGUCUGGAGAUCUCCAUACAGAGCAGCAGGGAGGAAAGCUGUGUGGAGGAGGAGAUGAGAAGAUGACUGUAGUAGCACCUGUAUCCCCUCAGAUCAAGAGCAAAUGUGGUUCACAGCAGAAACCUAAUGAGGGAACAGAGAGGCUGACCAUCUGCAAUUCGGUGUCUUUACCAUUUCUAUAAAUGAUCUGGAUGCAGCACUUGAAGUCAUACCAACACGCCAGCACUUCAGGCAGACUCAGAGCCAUCAGUACCAGAACACCUCGUCCUGGAGGGGCUCCAGCUCAAUGCAGCCUGCAGUUCUCACCCCAACAGAGACAAGGUCUUCAGCGCCAGUGCCAAGGGCACAGCAGCAAGGGGCACCUUGAAGGUGGUUGAUCCAGGCAGGCAAAGCACGCUGAGCACGGGGGAAACCAGAAGGCACAGACUUCAGUGUUAUUUUGUGGGAAAACAUUUAGAAACUGCAAGGAAGCUGUAAAAGAAUGCAAC
rnacentral:lncRNA from 1 species